UACGGGGGGGGCAAGCGUUGUUCGGAAUUACUGGGCGUAAAGGGCUCGUAGGUGGCCAACUAAGUCAGACGUGAAAUCCCUCAGCUUAACUGGGGAACUGCGUCUGAUACUGGAUGGCUUGAGUUUGGGAGAGGGAUGCGGAAUUCCAGGUGUAGCGGUGAAAUGCGCAGAUAUCAGGAAGAACACCCGUGGCGAAAGCGGCUCUCUGGAACGGUACUGACGCUGAGACGCGAAAGCGUGGGGGAGCGAACAGG
rnacentral:rRNA from 1 species